rnacentral:rRNA from 1 species
UACAGAGGUCCCGAGCGUUGUUCGGAUUCACUGGGCGUAAAGGGCGCGUAGGCGGGAUGGCAAGUCGGUCGUGAAAUCCCUCGGCUCAACCGAGGAACGUCGAUCGAUACUGCUGUUCUUGAGGAUUGCAGAGGAGACUGGAAUUCCCGGUGUAGCGGUGAAAUGUGUAGAGAUCGGGAGGAACACCGGUGGCGAAGGCGGGUCUCUGGGCAAUUCCUGACGCUGAGGCGCGAAAGCGUGGGGAGCAAACGGG